rnacentral:misc_RNA from 1 species
GGAAGUAAACGUCGUAACAAGGUUUCCGUAGGUGAACCUGCGGAAGGAUCAUUGUUGUAUAACCGAGGUGCGAGGGCUGUCGCUGACCCGAAAGGUCGUGCACGCCCGAGUGCCCUCACACACAUCCAUCUCACCCCUAUGUGCACCACCGCGUGGGUCCCCCUUUGGCUUGUUCGGAGGGGGGCUUACGUUUUCACACAAACUUUGUAUGCAGUGUAGAAUGUAUUUUUUGUUUUUGCGAUCACGCAAUCAAUACAACUUUCAACAACGGAUCUCUUGGCUCUC